CCUGCCAGCUGGAGCCCGCACACCAGAAGGCGAGCAAAAUGCGGCUCUUCAGGAGAACGAGGAACCGGACAUCCUCCAGUUCAGGGCCAACCACCAUGCCCUUGGCGAUGAGCCGUCACACUCUGGAGACCACAAGUGCAGCUCCUCCUGACCAGCAGGGACACUGGCGCCCUCGGGGUGCACCGGGCCAGCUCUUCCCACCCUGAGUGAAUGAGGACAUCCUAAGACUUUCCCUGGUUUCCCCUAAAUCCCCAGAGGGAGGGCACCACCCCCUCCCUCUCCCUGACAUCACCACGCCAGCCACUGUUAACCCAUUGGGGAGGAGUGAUAUUAUUUCUUUAAUAGUAAAUGGUAGAUUUGA